UUUAUGUGAACCUAAAAUUGCUCUUUAAAAUUUAAGUUAAAAAAAAAAGAAAUGAAACAUGGUCCCUGCCAUCUGAGCAAUAAUUUAAGGUUCACAAAAACAUUUUUCAGACUUAAGCUACUUUGAAUAUCAUAUCAUCUUCACUUAGGAGAUGAGGAAAUUCGGGUUCAGAAAGUUUAUGUGACUUACCUCGAGUCAUACAGCCAGUGUUGGGAGCAGAGAGCACGUGGAAAAUUCUUGCCUGCUUUUCAACAUCCACCCAAGAAGUAAUCAUUGGGCAAAACUGACCACCAGGCCUCAUCUCACUGCAAGGGGGCUGAAGAAUGACAGAAGACAAAGCUCCAGCUGGCAGAGAAAGAUGAAUGUGAGAGAAGGAAAAGUUUUAUCUAAGCCUGGAACCCAAGAAGAGAACCUCUGCCUGCCCAAAUCAGAUCAACACAAAUCUAUAUUUUCAAAAAACCUAAAGCAAGGAAAAUGUUAGCUUUAUAAACUCCACUUUGGAAAAGUUUUAGAACAGACCUUAUUAUAGAGUUCCACUAAGGCACCUGGUAUGGUAUUUCAUAUGGAAUUUGAUUCACAGAACUUUUAAUUUCAUCAGUAAAAUGUUAUUAACAACUCCCAUCUUGUAAGGCAUCAAAAGUUUUUAAAACAUGGUGUCCAAUCAAAAUCACAUCUGUCUGUAGGUUCCUUAAGGUUCUCCAAAUCACUAGGAAUACAGAGGCCCCUGUCUGUUCAAAUCAGGAAAAUGUGAGACCCUUUUCAUAAAGGAGAAACUGACAUUAGAGUAAGAAUUGGAGCCCAGACCUGGGAAGUUGUCAACCCUCUCUAUGGCCAAGAGGAAGAAGUGUGUGGGACCUGGUCAGUUACAGAACUUUUUCAGUUCUGAAUCUCACAUCCUUUCUUCAGUAGGCAUCCAUAGAAGGGAAUUGCUUCUGUGAGCGAGAGGCCAGGGUUCAUUCAAGGAGCAAACUCUCUUCCUCUUUUAUCUUGUCCAGGGAUGCCCAAAGGACCUGCCCUCUGCUGAUAUCUACAAAAGAUGAUAUUUUCAAAAUGUCCAAGAGUCUCUGAUCUGUGUGUUCAGCAGGAUAACCAAGCUACUGCCUAUCAGAGCAGGGGGCCUAACACCCCUUCCAUUACUGGUUGGCUCUGAUUAUCUUGAGGCUGCCAUGCUUUGAAGAAGUCAAACCACAUAGAGAAAUCAUCAGUGUUGGCCCCAGUGCCAAAGGUGUGAGUGAGGAGCCUUCAGACAACUCCAGCCCCCAUCCCCUGCCUGGGAGCCCACUCAGCUGGAGCACCAGACAGCAUGUGCAGGCCCUCCCUGCCAUGCCUUUUCUACUCCCACCCUACAGAAUCUGGGAGCACUGGACGUGGUUGUUUUAAGCUGUAAAGUUGUGGGAUCACUUGCUAUGAUAACCUUAUGUGGAGGUCUCAGGACACCUGACAUCUUCUCCACGCCACUCACUGCCAUGAGAAUUAAUGAACUAGGCUGGCAAUUCCUUGCUUAAGGUUUAUUUUUCCCACUUGGCUCUAAGUUCUGGGAGGGCAGGAUGCUGUCAGGGUCAUCAUUGUGCUUCCAGUGAGUUAGCCAGGGAGAUGCUCAAUGAAUACUUAAUGAAUGACUGAUCCCAACACUGUCCUCAGGCUGACCCCUCCACUACCCUCAGAAUGACUCUGGCUCUGGAUUCAGAUUCACUCUAACUCUGGCCUCGGACCAACCCUUAAUUCUGGCAUCAAAGACCUAACCCUGGCCACAGCCUGACAGAGCCUCUCACUUUAGUGCCUGAGCACUAAGCCUAGCUUCAGACUGACCCAAAAUCUUGACUUCAGAAUCACUCCUGACUCUGACCUCAGGCUCAGUCCCAACCUCACACUGGCUGGGAUGAUCUGUCUCUGCUCCCCUCUCCUGGCUUAUGUUGCCCUGCCCUCUCCCCAUGUUCCUUCCACGUCACUGCCUUGCCCUUCUCUCAGUCGUCUGGAGGUAUAAGGGCCUUUCAGGUGUCAGUACCUUCAUAUACAGGGUCUCCUUCCCACAGGAACACCCCCUCCUAACUCCUGCUAUUUUUAAAUCUUUCUUAAAUACCACUUUUUCAAGGAUCAAUUAGUUUAAAUGAGACCUUUAGAACUGCUCUUGGCAUUUUUGCAUUUCAAAAGCAUAUCUAUAGGUGUGCAUUUACUAUUAUGUCUGAUGUCUUUCUCUUCCUUCAGACUAUAAACUCCUUCUGUGAGUGUGGAGCCUAAUAAAUAAUUGUGGAAUGAUUGAACAAAUGAUUAAUUAUCCCAUCUCCUAGGAAGCUUUUUCUGUGACCUCCCUGCCAUGGUGGAGUUCACAUUUUCCCUCUGAACAGCCCCAUGCCAGCACUUAGCCUAGGGGUGGGUUAUUUGCCUUCACGCCU